UUCUAGCCCCGAUCGCAACGGCAUCCUUUUUCUUUUUCAGCGGUGGAUAAAGCGGUGGGAAAAGAAAAAGAUAUAGUGGAGAGCGGGAAACAGC
rnacentral:sRNA from 1 species